UUCCAUGAUGACAAACAACACAAAAUAUUCAAUAUUUCUGGUACCUCUUAUGUCAGAAGAGACCGGUUGCAAAAUUGGUCUUCUUCGAUGAUCUAAAUGGACUUCUGAUU
rfam:Exophiala spinifera strain CBS 89968 unplaced genomic scaffold supercont1.3, whole genome shotgun sequence.